rnacentral:rRNA from 1 species
UGGGGAAUAUUGCACAAUGGGCGCAAGCCUGAUGCAGCCAUGCCGCGUGUAUGAAGAAGGCCUUCGGGUUGUAAAGUACUUUCAGCGAGGAGGAAGGCGUUGUGAUUAAUAACCGCAACGAUUGACGUUACUCGCAGAAGAAGCACCGGCUAACUCCGUGCCAGCAGCCGCGGUAAUACGGAGGGUGCAAGCGUUAAUCGGAAUUACUGGGCGUAAAGCGCACGCAGGCGGUCUGUCAAGUCGGAUGUGAAAUCCCCGGGCUCAACCUGGGAACUGCAUCCGAAACUGGCAGGCUAGAGUCUUGUAGAGGGGGGUAGAAUUCCAGGUGUAGCGGUGAAAUGCGUAGAGAUCUGGAGGAAUACCGGUGGCGAAGGCGGCCCCCUGGACAAAGACUGACGCUCAGGUGCGAAAGCGUGGGGAGCAAACA